AAAUUGAAGAGUUUGAUCAUGGCUCAGAUUGAACGCUGGCGGCAGGCCUAACACAUGCAAGUCGAGCGGUAACACAGAGAGCUUGCUCUCGGGUGACGAGCGGCGGACGGGUGAGUAAUGUCUGGGAAACUGCCUGAUGGAGGGGGAUAACUACUGGAAACGGUAGCUAAUACCGCAUAACGUCGCAAGACCAAAGUGGGGGACCUUCGGGCCUCAUGCCAUCAGAUGUGCCCAGAUGGGAUUAGCUAGUAGGUGGGGUAAUGGCUCACCUAGGCGACGAUCCCUAGCUGGUCUGAGAGGAUGACCAGCCACACUGGAACUGAGACACGGUCCAGACUCCUACGGGAGGCAGCAGUGGGGAAUAUUGCACAAUGGGCGCAAGCCUGAUGCAGCCAUGCCGCGUGUAUGAAGAAGGCCUUCGGGUUGUAAAGUACUUUCAGCGAGGAGGAAGGCGUUAAGGUUAAUAACCUUGGCGAUUGACGUUACUCGCAGAAGAAGCACCGGCUAACUCCGUGCCAGCAGCCGCGGUAAUACGGAGGGUGCAAGCGUUAAUCGGAAUUACUGGGCGUAAAGCGCACGCAGGCGGUCUGUCAAGUCGGAUGUGAAAUCCCCGGGCUCAACCUGGGAACUGCAUUCGAAACUGGCAGGCUAGAGUCUUGUAGAGGGGGGUAGAAUUCCAGGUGUAGCGGUGAAAUGCGUAGAGAUCUGGAGGAAUACCGGUGGCGAAGGCGGCCCCCUGGACAAAGACUGACGCUCAGGUGCGAAAGCGUGGGGAGCAAACAGGAUUAGAUACCCUGGUAGUCCACGCCGUAAACGAUGUCGACUUGGAGGUUGUGCCCUUGAGGCGUGGCUUCCGGAGCUAACGCGUUAAGUCGACCGCCUGGGGAGUACGGCCGCAAGGUUAAAACUCAAAUGAAUUGACGGGGGCCCGCACAAGCGGUGGAGCAUGUGGUUUAAUUCGAUGCAACGCGAAGAACCUUACCUACUCUUGACAUCCAGAGAACUUAGCAGAGAUGCUUUGGUGCCUUCGGGAACUCUGAGACAGGUGCUGCAUGGCUGUCGUCAGCUCGUGUUGUGAAAUGUUGGGUUAAGUCCCGCAACGAGCGCAACCCUUAUCCUUUGUUGCCAGCGAUUCGGUCGGGAACUCAAAGGAGACUGCCAGUGAUAAACUGGAGGAAGGUGGGGAUGACGUCAAGUCAUCAUGGCCCUUACGAGUAGGGCUACACACGUGCUACAAUGGCAUAUACAAAGAGAAGCGACCUCGCGAGAGCAAGCGGACCUCAUAAAGUAUGUCGUAGUCCGGAUUGGAGUCUGCAACUCGACUCCAUGAAGUCGGAAUCGCUAGUAAUCGUAGAUCAGAAUGCUACGGUGAAUACGUUCCCGGGCCUUGUACACACCGCCCGUCACACCAUGGGAGUGGGUUGCAAAAGAAGUAGGUAGCUUAACCUUCGGGAGGGCGCUUACCACUUUGUGAUUCAUGACUGGGGUGAAGUCGUAACAAGGUAACCGUAGGGGAACCUGCGGUUGGAUCACCUCCUUA
rnacentral:rRNA from 1 species